rnacentral:lncRNA from 1 species
GAAAUAAUUAUGCUGACCUUGUCAGAUGCAUUCUGAAACAUGCUCUGAGAGGCCUCCCUUCUACAGGAUGUAUGACCUCGCUUGACCUCAGGAUGUUCCUGUCCCGUCUUUACUCAAAUGCUUAUCUUUUUAAUGUCAGACAAGUAUGUACUAUUAACUAUAAGGAAGCGAUAAAUCUCGCUGAUUGCGUGACAAACUGUGUAUAAAUGCUACCCCUGAAAAAAUACUCAUUGAGAACUUGUUAGAGCACUCUUUCGUGUCUGUCGUUAUUUGCUAAACAAGAACUCCCGUCAAUUGAUGUGGUGACCGUAGAAUCGAGAAUCGAGGG